rnacentral:tRNA from 2 species
GGAGAGGUGGCCGAGUGGUUGAAGGCGCACGCUUGGAAAGCGUGUAAACGGGCAACCGUUUCGAGGGUUCGAAUCCCUCUCUCUCCGCCA